AUUAUUUUGGCAGAUUAGUGCAUUAAAUUUAGAAUUUAAUUAUGUAAUUAAAAUUUACAGAUAAU
rnacentral:tRNA from 1 species